rnacentral:rRNA from 1 species
AUACGAACUGUGCAAACGUUAUUCGGAAUCACUGGGCUUAAAGGGUGCGUAGGCGGACUUGAAGGUCCGAUGUGAAAUCCCACGGCUCAACCGUGGAAUUGCGUCGGAAACCACAAGUCUUGAGGGAGUCAGAGGUAAGCGGAACUGAUGGUGGAGCGGUGAAAUGCGUUGAUAUCAUCAGGAACACCGGUGGCGAAAGCGGCUUACUGGGACUUUUCUGACGCUGAGGCACGAAAGCUAGGGGAGCGAACGGAAUUAGAAACCCUAGUAGUCC